GAUGAACGCUGGCGGCGCGCCUAACACAUGCAAGUCGAACGGCACCUGCCUUCGGGCAGAAGCGAGUGGCGAACGGUUGAGUAACACGUGGAGAACCUGCCCCCUCCCCCGGGAUAGCCGCCCGAAAGGACGGGUAAUACCGGAUACCCCGGGGUGCCGCAUGGCACCCCGGCUAAAGCCCCGACGGGAGGGGAUGGCUCCGCGGCCCAUCAGGUAGACGGCGGGGUGACGGCCCACCGUGCCGACAACGGGUAGCCGGGUUGAGAGACCGACCGGCCAGAUUGGGACUGAGACACGGCCCAGACUCCUACGGGAGGCAGCAGUGGGGAAUCUUGCGCAAUGGGGGGAACCCUGACGCAGCGACGCCGCGUGCGGGACGGAGGCCUUCGGGUCGUAAACCGCUUUCAGCAGGGAAGAGUCAAGACUGUACCUGCAGAAGAAGCCCC
rnacentral:rRNA from 1 species